GGAGAGUUGCCAGAGCGGUAAUGGGCUGGCUUGCUAAGCCAAGACAACCUCACGGUUGCGAGGGUUCGAUCCCCUCACUCUCCUCCA
rnacentral:tRNA from 1 species